AGCCUUCUGUAUCUGUGCAGAGAUUUCGUCAGCGGUCAACCCAUAGGGGCUGAUGUAACUCCUUAAACAAGUUAAGUA
rnacentral:pre_miRNA from 1 species